rnacentral:rRNA from 1 species
AAGGCUGAGGCGUGAUGACGAGGCACUACGGUGCUGAAGCAACAAAUGCCCUGCUUCCAGGAAAAGCCUCUAAGCAUCAGGUAACAUCAAAUCGUACCCCAAACCGACACAGGUGGUCAGGUAGAGAAUACCAAGGCGCUUGAGAGAACUCGGGUGAAGGAACUAGGCAAAAUGGUGCCGUAACUUCGGGAGAAGGCACGCUGAUAUGUAGGUGAAGUCCCUCGCGGAUGGAGCUGAAAUCAGUCGAAGAUACCAGCUGGCUGCAACUGUUUAUUAAAAACACAGCACUGUGCAAACACGAAAGUGGACGUAUACGGUGUGACGCCUGCCCGGUGCCGGAAGGUUAAUUGAUGGGGUCAGCGCAAGCGAAGCUCUUGAUCGAAGCCCCGGUAAACGGCGGCCGUAACUAUAACGGUCCUAAGGUAGCGAAAUUCCUUGUCGGGUAAGUUCCGACCUGCACGAAUGGCGUAAUGAUGGCCAGGCUGUCUCCACCCGAGACUCAGUGAAAUUGAACUCGCUGUGAAGAUGCAGUGUACCCGCGGCAAGACGGAAAGACCCCGUGAACCUUUACUAUAGCUUGACACUGAACAUUGAGCCUUGAUGUGUAGGAUAGGUGGGAGGCUUUGAAGUGUGGACGCCAGUCUGCAUGGAGCCGACCUUGAAAUACCACCCUUUAAUGUUUGAUGUUCUAACGUUGACCCGUGAUCCGGGUUGCGGACAGUGUCUGGUGGGUAGUUUGACUGGGGCGGUCUCCUCCUAAAGAGUAACGGAGGAGCACGAAGGUUGGCUAAUCCUGGUCGGACAUCAGGAGGUUAGUGCAAUGGCAUAAGCCAGCUUGACUGCGAGCGUGACGGCGCGAGCAGGUGCGAAAGCAGGUCAUAGUGAUCCGGUGGUUCUGAAUGGAAGGGCCAUCGCUCAACGGAUAAAAGGUACUCCGGGGAUAACAGGCUGAUACCGCCCAAGAGUUCAUAUCGACGGCGGUGUUUGGCACCUCGAUGUCGGCUCAUCACAUCCUGGGGCUGAAGUAGGUCCCAAGGGUAUGGCUGUUCGCCAUUUAAAGUGGUACGCGAGCUGGGUUUAGAACGUCGUGAGACAGUUCGGUCCCUAUCUGCCGUGGGCGCUGGAGAACUGAGGGGGGCUGCUCCUAGUACGAGAGGACCGGAGUGGACGCAUCACUGGUGUUCGGGUUGUCAUGCCAAUGGCACUGCCCGGUAGCUAAAUGCGGAAGAGAUAAGUGCUGAAAGCAUCUAAGCACGAAACUUGCCCCGAGAUGAGUUCUCCCUGACUCCUUGAGAGUCCUGAAGGAACGUUGAAGACGACGACGUUGAUAGGCCGGGUGUGUAAGCGCAGCGAUGCGUUGAGCUAACCGGUACUAAUGAACCGUGAGGCUUAACC